GACGAACGCUGGCGGCGUGCUUAAUACAUGCAAGUCAACUUGACUUUAGAUAGCAAUAUCGAAAAGUAGGGUGGCGCACGGGUGCGUAACGCGUAGGUAAUCUGCCCUGAGGUCUGACAUAACCCGUCGAAAGGCGGGCUAACAUCAGAUGAUAUAUAAUCACGACAUCGUGGAAAUAUCAAAUCUUCGGAGCCUUGGGAUGAGCCUGCGUCUGAUUAGGUAGUUGGCGGAGUAAUAGCCCACCAAGCCUACGAUCAGUAGCUGGUCUGAGAGGAUGAUCAGCCACACUGGAACUGAGACACGGUCCAGACUCCUACGGGAGGCAGCAGUAAGGAAUAUUGCUCAAUGGGGGAAACCCUGAAGCAGCAACGCCGCGUGAAGGAUGAAAUACUUUGUAUGUAAACUUCUGUAAGAUGGGAAAAUAUUCUCCUCGGAGAAUUGAUUGUACCAUCAGAGUAAGCCCCGGCUAACUACGUGCCAG
rnacentral:rRNA from 1 species